CACACUCCAUUCUACCUCUUUUCCACUCCGCGUUCAAAGAGAACGACACGAUGCCCGAGUCCGCCUCGUACACAAAUGGCUACCCCAAUGGGACGGGUACAAAGGAGUGUGAAGACAGAGAGACAUUUCUUUUUACGAGUGAGAGCGUAGGAGAGGGACAUCCAGACAAAAUCUGCGAUCAGGUUAGCGAUGCAGUUCUCGAUGCUCAUCUUGCACAGGAUCCCGAUGCAAAGGUUGCAUGCGAGACCUGUACCAAAACCGGGAUGAUCCUUGUGUGUGGAGAGAUUACAUCAAAGGCCGUAGUUGAUUAUCAGAAGAUUGUUCGUGACACCAUCAAGAAGAUUGGAUACGAUGAUUCGUGCAAGGGCUUCGACUUCACAACGUGUAAUCUUCUUGUUGCAAUUGAGCAACAGUCGCCAAAUAUUGCUGGUGGCGUUCAUGUAGACAGAGCUGAGGAAGAUGUUGGUGCUGGUGAUCAGGGUCUUAUGUUUGGAUAUGCUACGGAUGAAACUGAAGAAUGCAUGCCAUUGACUGUUGUCUUGGCUCACCGUCUCAAUCAGAAGAUUGCAGAAUUGCGCAGAGAUGGCACUUUCUGGUGGGCCCGCCCAGAUACAAAGACACAGAUUACAGCAGAGUACUACUUUGACCAGGGUGCUGCCAUUCCCCUGCGUGUGCACACAGUGGUUGUCUCUGCCCAACACUCUGAGAAGGUAACCUUGGACCAGCUGAGAGCUGACAUUAUGGAGAAGGCUAUCAAGUCUGUCAUCCAGAACAGUACCUUGAUGAAAACACCAAAUACCACAUCAACCCUUGUGGAGACUUCAUCAUUGGAGGACCUCAGGGUGAUGCAGGUCUCACAGGCAGGAAGAUCAUUGUUGACACGUAUGGUGGUUGGGGAGCUCAUGGAGGCGGUGCUUUCUCUGGCAAGGACUACACGAAGGUGGAUCGCUCUGCUGCCUACGCUGCUCGAUGGGUUGCAAAGUCUCUGGUGAAGGGGGACUCUGCAAGAGGUGUCUUGUUCAAGUAUCCUAUGCAAUUGGAGUAGCUGAGCCAAUCAGCAUCAGCAUCUUCCAUUACGGCACAUCACAGUACACGUCAAAACAGCUGCUAGAAAUUGUCAACCAGAACUUCGACUUGAGGCCAGGCCGUAUUGUAAAGGAAUUGGGCUUGAAGCGCCCAAUCUAUAGGGACACUUCUUGUUAUGGACACUUUGGCAGAGACCAGUUCCCAUGGGAGAAACCCAAAGCAAUGACCCUUCCAAAGCUUUAAGUAAAUCUUGUCUCCUCCCAAAGAAAAAGAUAGGGAUGUAAGUGGCUUCCUCAUAAUAUGAGAAAAUAACUGCUUAAAUCUGAGGAGCCACACUUAUAGAAAUUUAGUUGACCAGUUAGUGUAGUGCAAAAUAUUUAAUCUUUUUAAAUUGCAUUUGUUGGAGUUUGUGAUAGCACAUCCUUGUGUCAGGCAGGCACUCGGGCACUGUGUAUGUGCGACCUGGUGAUCGUAGGUGCUAGGCCAGGGGGUGCCUGGUGUCACCCCCGGUCUGGCCUGCCCCUAACCUCGAGGACCCCUGCAAGAUGACCACAGUUUCAAGUUGGUACAGAUGAUGGAUCUGUUUUGCUAUGUAAACAUCCUUUGUUUGUGCCAGACUUGACACUGCAAAUGUGUAGGAUUAGCAAGAUUUUCCUCUAGAGUUUUUUAUACAAGAUCUACGCAUUUGUGUUGUGUUUACGAAAAUUCUAAUGGAAAAGAGCAUUUCCUUAAACACUCCGGCCACCUUUCUGGGAUGGGGCAUCACUUGCUGACACAUUCCUCGAGACUUGAGAGUUAGGGUCUUUUUAGGUUUUAUCCUUUUAUUUAGAUUUAGUAGCUUAUUGAAGAUGUAUGUCUACAUUGUAUUUGUUAUGAUUAAGCCGAUUCUAUACACGCAGAAUGUAUACUAUUCGGCUGAUUAAAAGUUAUUCGUGUAAUCUUAUCAUUUUAUUAUCUUUUGAGUAUGUAAUGAUAAAAGUUUUAAUGUAAUUUUAUUUUAUCAAUUGCUUGGUUGAAUUGGGACAGUGCAAAUCCUUAUUAUUUAAAAUAAUAUUGUGCAAUAUGAUUACUGAAUAUGUGACUUUCUUAGUUUCAAGCCUCAUGAUUUGAAGAUUUGAAAAUCAUGAAUCUUUAACUUUUAUCAUUUUCUUCCAAGCUUGGAAAUAAAAUUCUUUAUUCCUGCUUUACUGAAACCAUAGUAAGUUGCAGAAUUGAUUAACUUCUUUGGUAAGACUUCAUCAAGGCAACAUAUCCCAAACAUAUGUUAAAAACAUUAUUUUGCUCUUUUUUAAUUCAUAUUAGUGCUGAAACUAAUUGUAUUUGUUAAUAGGUUGUCAGUUCUUUACAUUUUGAGCUGCAUAACCUUCAACACCUGUAGAGGUUGUAGAAUUAUACAAAGUUUGAAUCUUGUAUAUUGGAAAAAUGCAAGUGAACAAUUUGAUUGUUCUUGGAUAGAAUAUUGAAAAGUUUAAGUAUUGAAGUUUCAACACUUAAAGAACCGGAUAUGGUAUGCAAUGUGGGGCUUCAUUCAAAGAUGUUUGUCUCAAUCUAGUAGAGACUAGAGUUUUGGUACAAAUGUCCAUGAGAAGGGAUUAUUAAAUUUAUUCAAAUGCUUACUUAACUUGCAUAAAAGAAAUGCAGUCUCGGAAAACUAGAAUAAACGUUAAUUAAAUAA